CCUAGACGGGGAUUGGGAGACAUGCAAGUGGCUUGGCUUCCUAUUACCUUGUGUUGAAAACACAAUAGGCUUUGGAAUCAGGAGUUCAUUCCAGUUAUUUUAAUGUUAUUUACUAGCAGUGUGCCCUCGUGCACGUUAUCAAACUCCUCUGACUCUUGAAAUCCUCAUUUUUCAAUAAUAACUCACAAAGCUGGCAAGCCUAAGGGAUCUAACAGCUUGAACAGCACCUGGAACAGAAGCAAUAGCCGCCACUCAGAGGUUACUUCUUCCUUCUCCACCUUCUCUGGAUCACCUCCCUACCUCAUCCUCAAUCUAACGCUGGGAAUAUUGCAUAUGGGGUUCUUCAAUCUCAAAUCAAAUAAUCUGUAGAGUCCCCUCCAGCUCCGAAAUUCUCUCUAUGUCUUGGAGUGUGUGGAAUAGCCAGGAAACCAGCCCAGGAGCUUUGACUCCCAGCCAUUCUCCCAUGCUCCAGAUGGAGGGAGAAAGUGCACACAGGCACACCAAAGCCACAGGGACACAA